rnacentral:rRNA from 1 species
GUGAGUAACGCGUAAAUAACCUGCCAUACACACAAGGAUAGCCAUCGGAAACGGUGAUUAAUACUUGAUGAGGCUACAGAUUCGCAUGAAUCAGUAGUUAAAGAAUUUUGGUGUAUGAUGGAUCUGCGUUUGAUUAGCUAGUUGGUAAGGUAAAAGCUUACCAAGGCGAUGAUCAAUAGCCGGCCUGAGAGGGUGAACGGCCACACUGGAACUGAGACACGGUCCAGACUCCUACGGGAGGCAGCAGUGGGGAAUAUUGCACAAUGGAGGAAACUCUGAUGCAGCAACGCCGCGUGAACGAAGAAGGCUUUCGAGUCGUAAAGUUCUGUUAUAGGGGAAGAAGCAGUGACGGUACCCUAUGAGAAAGCCACGGCUAAUUACGUGCCAGCAGCCGCGGUAAUACGUAAGUGGCAAGCGUUAUCCGGAAUUACUGGGCAUAAAGAGUUCGUAGGCGGUCAAUCAAGCCAAUAGUGAAAUCCAUCGGCCUAACCGAUGUAAGCUAAUGGAACUGAGUGACUUGAGUACAGGAGAGGAAAGUGGAAUUCCUAGUGUAGUAGUGAAAUGCGUAGAUAUUAGGAAGAACAUCAGUAGCGAAGGCGACUUUCUGGACUGUAACUGACGCUGAGGAACGAAAGCGUGGGGAGCGAACAGGAUUAGAUACCCUGGUAGUCCACGCCGUAAACGAUGGAUACUUGGUGUUGGCCGUAAAGGUCGGUGCCGGAGCAAAUGUAUUAAGUAUCCCGCCUGGGGAGUACGGUCGCAAGGCUGAAACUCAAAAGAAUUGACGGGGACCCGCACAAGCAGCGGAGCAUGUGGUUUAAUUCGAAGCAACGCGAAGAACCUUACCAAAUCUUGACAUAUCAAAGCUAUCUGAGUAAAAUUAGAGUUCCAUUUGGACUUUGAAUACAGGUGGUGCAUGGUUGUCGUCAGCUCGUGUCGUGAGAUGUUGGGUUAAGUCCCGUAACGAGCGCAACCCUUAUUCUUAGUUGCUAACAAGUAAUGUUGAGGACUCUAGAGAGACUGCCGAUGAAAAAAUCGGAGGAAGGUGGGGAUGACGUCAAAUCAUCAUGCCCCUUAUGAUUUGGGCUACACACGUGCUACAAUGGCCGGUACAACGGGUAAGCGAAGGGGUGACCUGGAGCCAAU